GCCGGUUUUCAACCUCACCAAUCUGACAACAGAGAGGAGGAACAAACACAACAACCUUUGCCACAAAGGCAUGAGCACGACGUUUCAGUGUUGUAGGAGAAUGAAUCCGCUGCCUGUUCCUUGUACCAAAAACAUCCAUGACUGUUUAAACCCAUAUACACUUCAAAACAUCCACAACAUCUUCAGAGGAGAACAUCACGGAGAACUGCAGAAGAGCUGUGCAGACACUUGGCAGCUCAUCGCAGCUUAUUGAUGCGAUGCUGGAGAUACUUUGGACACAACUGCAGAGUGGUUAUCCUGUCGCGUGUCGUCUUGAGGAUUCGCCUCGAGUUUCCUGACCCGACUUGACAGUAUGUUGGCUUCUGCCCGCCCCUUAACUACACCUGGACACGUGUCGAGCCACCCCUCCUUCUUUUGAGAGCCAUGUAUUUUCUGCAGCUCCUCUAUGAAUGGUUCUGGUUCCUGAAACACCUCCUCCAACACCAGUGCCAUCAAGUCCCAGACAUAUCCUGUAAAAA